GAAUUGUGAAGGCGAUCCUGAUUGCGACAUAUGUCACCCCAUUGAUCGCCAGGGUUGAUUUGCCUGAUCUGCUGGCUAGGCAGGUGUCCCCUUCCUCCCUCACAGCUCCAUGCGCGUCCCUCCCGAGGCUGCAUGCUCGGUCAAAGAGGACCGCCUUCCCGAAUAGAGACGGACCAGUCUUCAGGCGAAUGUAUACGAGUAGCUGUGCUCCCCGAAACAAGCUCUCAAGUUCCACUGGUAGGAGAAAAUGCAAGUAAACUAUAUAGAUGCUUCCCUGUUUGAUAUGAGCAUAAGAU
rnacentral:snRNA from 1 species